GGAGAAAUUUGAGUGAAAAUUUGAAAGAAUAUGAGAGAUAUAGCAACUUUUGAAGAAAGAAUAAGCAGACAAAGAAAAGAGAAGCAAAAUGACACUGUUUCCAUGUGAUUGCAACAUAGGAAUAAUUAAAUAAUGGCCAUUAAAUAACGGCUGUCACCGUUACAUAAGGUAUGUAAUGGUUAUGACCAUUACACCUGCAAGUCCAGAUUUGCAGGUAAAUAACGGUGUAUCGUGUAACGGGCCCUUCCAAAACCUGUAUUUUGAAACCAUGUCUAUCAUAUUAAAAAAGGGGGGUAGUCACAACUUGUAUUGGCCUUGGAAUUUACUUAAUGCAUACAAUUAAUAAAAAUUGGAAACUCUAAAAUCUAAAUUUGUCUAAUCUUUGAAUACUAUUUCCUCGCUAUAAGAUUCAAUAAAAGGAAAACUUUUCAAUAUAAUAGAAGUAGAAUCAAAUCUCCAAAAUUAUCAAAUAAGGUAAAAUAUAACAUACUCUCAAAGUCUCAGAUGAUUAGAUCAACCUAUUCCUAGAAC
rnacentral:misc_RNA from 1 species